rnacentral:rRNA from 1 species
UAGGGAAUCUUCCGCAAUGGACGCAAGUCUGACGGAGCAACGCCGCGUGAGUGAAGAAGGAUUUCGGUUCGUAAAACUCUGUUGUUAGAGAAGAACAGCGCAUAGAGUAACUGUUAUGCGUGUGACGGUAUCUAACCAGAAAGCCACGGCUAACUACGUGCCAGCAGCCGCGGUAAUACGUAGGUGGCAAGCGUUGUCCGGAUUUAUUGGGCGUAAAGCGAGCGCAGGCGGUCAAUUAAGUCUGAUGUGAAAGCCCCCGGCUCAACCGGGGAGGGUCAUUGGAAACUGGUUGACUUGAGUGCAGAAGAGGAGAGUGGAAUUCCAUGUGGAGCGGUGAAAUGCGUAGAAAUAUGGAGGAACACCAGUGGCGAAGGCGACUCUCUGGUCUGUAACUGACGCUGAGGCUCGAAAGCGUGGGUAGCAAACAGG